rnacentral:rRNA from 1 species
CAUGUGGGGCAAGCGUUGUUCGGAAUUACUGGGCAUAAAGGGUGCGUAGGUGGUCUGUUAAGUCAGUGGUGAAAUCCCGCGGCCCAACCGUGGAACUGCCAUCGAUACUGGCGGACUUGAGUGCGUGAGGGGUUACCGGAACGAGCAGUGUAGCGGUGAAAUGCGUAGAUAUUGCUCGGAAGGCCAGAGGCGAAGGCGGGUAACUGGCACGCAACUGACACUGAGGCACGAAAGCGUGGGGAGCAAACAGGAUUAGAUACCCUGGUAGUCCACGCCCUAAACGAUGUCAACUGGUUGUUGGGUCUUCACUGACUCAGUAACGAAGCUAACGCGUGAAGUUGACCGCCUGGGGAGUACGGCCGCAAGGUUG